rnacentral:lncRNA from 1 species
AAAGUGGUGAACCAACUUAAUCAAAUGCAAAUUUACAAUGCCAUAAAAACGAAAAUGUAGGUAGUGCUGUUAUGCACUUUUUGGCGGCGGCAAGAUUUCGCACGGCAUCAUCGCACGACCGAUCUGCGUCGCUGUUCAGCCAGUAUUUAGCCCAGUACAUAAAUAGCAAAUACUUUGUAUUACAUAUGACUUCUUCUUUUCACAAUUUGUAAGGUUAGUUUGGCUUCUUUUCCUUCGCCGUUAUCGUUGUGAUAGACUGAUCCUUGAGUCAAUACCUUCAUUAAAGCCUUGGACUGCGAGUGAAUAUAAAGCUAGUAAAUGUCCCUAUGGCAUAAACAUGCCGGUUACCGACCGUUUGGGGCCCAUUAACCCAACCGGCCGGUUGAAUGGCGUUAACGGCCCGGUUGGGUUAACGGUCGGUUGGGUUAACGGCCAGUUGGGUUAACGAUCAGUUGGGUUAACGGUCGGUUGGGUUAAUGAGCCCCAAACGGUCGGUAACCGGCAUGUUUAUGCCAUAGGGAC